GGUCUUCCUUAACUUGCUGUGUGUCAUCUGGGGCCAACCUCAGCCACUAGGGGCUGCCAUCAUCCUUACAUCCUCCUAAUGUGGUGGUCUCAAUCUUCAAGUCCGGAAUGGAUACAAUUCUCAGACAAAUAAUCGCUGGAAUGAAAGAGGCAGAUGCUUUCAUCCACAUUCUGGCUUCCCAUUUGAAAGAGAAUCAACUCCUGGGGUACUGAGGUAGGGGACACUGAAGAAAGCCUGCAUUUCACCAGGGAUAAUGAG